rnacentral:rRNA from 1 species
UACGUAGGUCCCGAGCGUUGUCAGGAUUUAUUGGGCGUAAAGCGAGCGCAGGUGGUUUAAUAAGUCUGAUGUAAAAGGCAGUGGCUCAACCAUUGUGUGCAUUGGAAACUGUUAGACUUGAGUGCAGUAGAGGAGAGUGGAAUUCCAUGUGUAGCGGUGAAAUGCGUAGAUAUAUGGAGGAACACCGGUGGCGAAAGCGGCUCUCUGGACUGUAACUGACACUGAGGCUCGAAAGCGUGGGUAGCAAACAGG